GGAGGGUUAUCGAAGUGGUCAUAACGAGCCGCACUCGAAAUGCGGUUGGGGGCAACCCCACGAGAGUUCGAAUCUCUCACCCUCCGCCA
rnacentral:tRNA from 1 species